UACGUAGGGAGCAAGCGUUGUCCGGAAUCAUUGGGCGUAAAGCGCGCGUAGGCGGCUCGAUCAGUCUGUUGUGAAAGUCAAAGGCUCAACCUUUGAAUGCCGAUGGAUACUGUCGAGCUAGAGUCCGGAAGAGGCGGGUGGAAUUCCUGGUGUAGCGGUGGAAUGCGCAGAUAUCAGGAGGAACACCAACGGCGAAGGCAGCCCGCUGGGACGGUACUGACGCUAAGGCGCGAAAGCGUGGGGAGCGAACAGG
rnacentral:rRNA from 2 species